UCCGGGAGCUGCUCUGUGUCUAAUGACUGCUUGGAUGAGCCUCUUGCUCACUCGGAAAGCCGUGUAAGAUAUACAUCUGACUUUCACAAGGGGCUGGAGGAGGAAGGGAGCGAUGUGAUCAAAACCCAGCCUAUUCCAGCACAAUAUUCGAAUGCAAGAUGCUCAGCCUUGAACAGCAGAGAACAGCAUCACAUUAUUUUACUCUGAUAAGUAGUUUGAAAGGUGACCUGUGAAUGGGAAAAGGAGCAGGCUGUGCUCGUCUUUGGCAGUGCAAAGGCGGUCUUUGCGGGGUGCAUUCUGCAGGGGGGAGUUUUGUGCACGUGUCUUUUACAUAAAUAAUGUAGGUGCUGUCGGUCCGGUGUUGCGAGACGGCCGCGUGAUUGACUGAAGAACCCAGAGUAGGAGCAUGACAUUAGAGAUGCCCAGGAAAGGAAACAUGAUUAACUGAGACCGAGGAAUGAAUGUUGUGUUUUUUUAUUGACUUCUUGGAGCUCUCUGUUCCCAACAGCUAUUUAACUCAGAAGCCAUGCUCAGUAAUUAAAAAUUCAAGUUUCCCUCCCCUUUGAUUAAGGGCUGAGAAAACUCCCGGUCCCCCUGUCUAGUACCUCCAAGGAGGCAUUUAGCAGUCCAGAGAAGGCAAGGCAUAACAGGCUUCAUAUUUAUAAGGCAAAAAUCCUUUUAGACCAUCUUUCUACAUCUUCCAGAAGCCAGAUAAGACAUAAGCCCCUAUUUUGCCUAUUCAGGUCAUUUGACAAUAAGCUCUUAUAAAACCAAGCAGUGCGGCUGCCUGCUGCAAUGGAGCAUACCCACCGCAGCACAUACCCCCACGUCAGCAGCUUGGGAGUGGAAACCAAAGUGAUCUGCGUGGGUUUUGGGGAGGGUGGGGGAUGGCUGGGGGACAGGGGCCCUGACAGGGAUCUCUGCUAUGGUCAGUGCCUCUGGACUUCGUGCUCUGGCUUUCUGCUUCUGGCCCUGCUUGGCUCCGUCUCUGGACUCUGGCUUUUGGGACCUCCACUCAGCUUUGAUUGCUUGGUCCCGUACUCCAGGAUCCUGACUUGGCCUUGGACUCUGCCUCAGCAACUUGGACGUGAGUUUCUGCCCCCACCCAUGUGCUCAGGGCCCGCCAGCCCCUGGUGUCUUACCCACUAGGGAAGACUGCCUGCAACCCAGUCUACACAGCAAGUAGAGCACUGAAUGGGCUGGAUGUGUAUGAAUGAAUUAAAGACUGAUAAAAAUCUUUAUAAUA